AGGCGACAGGUGGAAGCCCGGUAACGGGUGCAGCUGAGUCGUACUAAUGGCCGAAUGGCUUGACCU
rnacentral:rRNA from 1 species